rnacentral:rRNA from 1 species
UACGUAGGGGGCUAGCGUUGUCCGGAAUCAUUGGGCGUAAAGAGCGCGUAGGCGGCUAGAUAAGUCCGGUGUGAAAGUCACAGGCUCAACCUGUGAAUGCCGCUGGAAACUGUCUGGCUAGAGUCCGGAAGGGGCGAGUGGAAUUCCUGGUGUAGCGGUGAAAUGCGCAGAUAUCAGGAGGAACACCAGCGGCGAAGGCGGCGCUCUGGGCCGGUACUGACGCUGAGGAGCGAAAGCGUGGGGAUCAAACAGG